AACCCGCCUGCACGAAGCCGGAGUUGCUAGUAAUCGCGAAUCAGAAUGUCGCGGUGAAUGCGUUCCCGGGUCUUGUACACACCGCCCGUCACACCAUGGAAGUUGGGGGUGCCCAAAGCCGGCAAGCAAAUAUGCUGUCUAAGGCAAAACCAAUGACUGGGGUGAAGUCGUAACAAGGUAAC
rnacentral:rRNA from 1 species